rnacentral:rRNA from 1 species
UACAGAGGGUGCGAGCGUUGUCCGGAAUCACUGGGCGUAAAGGGCGCGUAGGCGGCUUGAUAAGCGUGCGGUGAAAGCCCGGGGCUCAACCCCGGGUCGGCCGUGCGAACUGUCGAGCUGGAGCACUGUAGAGGCAGGUGGAAUUCCGGGUGUAGCGGUGGAAUGCGUAGAGAUCCGGAAGAACACCGGUGGCGAAGGCGCCCUGCUGGGCAGUGGCUGACGCUGAGGCGCGACAGCGUGGGGAGCAAACAGG